GACGAACGCUGGCGGCGUGCCUAAUACAUGCAAGUUGAGCGCUGAAGGUUGGUACUUGUACCGACUGGAUGAGCAGCGAACGGGUGAGUAACGCGUGGGUAAUCUGCCUUUGAGCGGGGACAACAUUUGGAAACGAAUGCUAAUACCGCAUAAAAACUUUAAACACAAGUUUUCAGUUUGAAAGAUGCAAUUGCAUCACUCAAAGAUGAUCCCGCGUUGUAUUAGCUAGUUGGUGAGGUAAAGGCUCACCAAGGCGAUGAUACAUAGCCGACCUGAGAGGGUGAUCGGCCACAUUGGGACUGAGACACGGCCCAAACUCCUACGGGAGGCAGCAGUAGGGAAUCUUCGGCAAUGGACGAAAGUCUGACCGAGCAACGCCGCGUGAGUGAAGAAGGUUUUCGGAUCGUAAAACUCUGUUGGUAGAGAAGAACGUUGGUGAGAGUGGAAAGCUCAUCAAGUGACGGUAACUACCCAGAAAGGGACGGCUAACUACGUG
rnacentral:rRNA from 1 species